rnacentral:rRNA from 1 species
GACGAACGCUGGCGGCGUGCCUAACACAUGCAAGUGGAGCGACGAACCAGGCUUCGGCCUGGGGCAAAGCCGCGAACGGGUGAGUAACACGUGGGUAACCUGCCCCGAUGAUUGGGACAACCCGAGGAAACUCGGGCUAAUACCGAAUGUGCCCUCCGACCGCAAGGUCACUGGGGAAAGGAAGCUUCGGCCUCCGCAUCGGGAUGGGCCCGCGGCCCAUUAGCUUGUUGGUGAGGUAACGGCUCACCAAGGCGACGAUGGGUAGCUGGUCUGAGAGGACGAUCAGCCACACUGGGACUGAGACACGGCCCAGACUCCUACGGGAGGCAGCAGUGGGGAAUCUUGCGCAAUGCGCGAAAGCGUGACGCAGCAACGCCGCGUGGGGAAGACGGCCU